UCUGUUUCAACUGGCAAAUAUUCAGUUACAUUUUCAUGAAUAUUCACAUUUGUUUCAGGUGCAUUCGUUGGAGAAAUUGUUUCGUGUUUUUCUGAUGCUGCAAAUUCGUUUGCCGUCUCCAAAAUGGUUGUUGUUAGCUGGUGGUUCAAAUCUAGCAUAUUUUCGGUCGUAAAGUCUUCGAUUGCUUCUUCUGCACUGGACUUGGUACCCUCAGUUUGAAUCACCGUAGAUACAGGAACAAUAUUCGCAUCUGUUGUUGCAGUAUCAGUGGGGCUUUCGUUCGAUUCCUGUUUCCGUAACACCGACCAAGGUUCUUUCAGGUAUGUUUGUCAUUUUUGUAUUGCUUUCUUGAAUAUGUUGUUCAUUUUCUGCAUUACUGGGUUCUGGUAUAUUUGUAACAUCUUGGACAAAAGUAGUUGUUUCAUAUUCGGUUAGAUUGAAAAAUUGUUCCGAUUCAUAAGUUGCAUUUGUUUGUAUAUUACCUUCCAAAAUAGCUUCUUUUUCUUCAUCAGAUUGCAUGUCAUUUUCUAGUUGUAUAGUGGUUGCGGCAAUUAUCGUUGUAGUGGUGUUGACGUGCAAAUCACUCGUCUGACUUGAGUGUAGGGGCGAAAGACUAAUCGAACCAUCUAGUUGCUGGUUCCUUCCGAAGUUUCCCUCAGGAUAGCUGGCAUUUGUUUGUAACAAUUUUAUCCGGUAGAGCGAAUGAUUAGAGGUGUUGGGAACGCAAUGUUCUCAGCCUAUUCUCAAACUUCGAAUGGGUAAGCAAGGCGUUUUGCUUUGAUUUUACGAUGAAAUCGCCCAAUUAGAAUGCAUAAAUGCCUAGUGGGCCAAUUUUGGUAAGCAGAACUGGCGAUGUGGAAUGAACCAAAAGUCAGGUUAAGGUGCCAGACAUUGGCGCUCAUGAAAUACCAGAAAAGGUGUUGGUCGAUAUAGACAGCAGGACGGUGGCCAUGGAAGUUGGAAUCCGCCAAGGAGUGUGUAACAACUCACCUGCCGAAUCGACUAGCCCUGAAAAUGGAUAGCGUUUGAGCGCCAGGCCCAUACCUGACCGUCUCAAUUACGCACUUUUUUUCGGAAAAGGUGUAAUGAACGUUGAGACGGGUAGGAAGGUCGCGACAGUGUUGCUUUGAAGAGUUUUGAGCGUGAGCUCGCUCGGAGCCGCUGUUGGUGCAGAUCUUGGUGGUAGUAGCAAAUAUUCAAGUGAGAACCUUGAAGGCUGAAGUGGAGCAAGGUUCCAUGUGAACAGCAGUUGGACAUGGGUCAGUCGAUCCUAAGAAAACGGCGAAAGCUUGUUCGAAUUUGCGACAUGAAUUGUAAGACUGUGUGUGUUUAUUGUGUGUGCAGUUGUCGUAUGUUUUCGAAAGGGAAUCCGGUUGAUAUUCCGGAACCGAGUAACGGAGACAAAGAGUAGCGCUUUAAUCUCUCUGUGGGGUUGGCGUUCAACUCAAUCGCGCGGUAACGCAAGCGAACUCGGAAAAUGACCGUCGUGAGUUUCGAAAAGAGUUUUCUUUUCUUUUUAAGGGACGCAUUCCCUGGAACCGGGUUGUCCGGAGAUAGGGAUUCUGGUAUCCAUAAAACGCCGACUUUUUCACGGUGUUCGGAGCGCUCUCGUCGGUACGUGAAAAUCCGAGCGACGCCUGGUAAAUCUCGUACUUGGUCGUACUGAUAUCCGCAGCAGGUCUCCAAGGUGAAUAGCCUCUGGCCGAUAGAAUAAUGUAGGUAAGGGAAGUCGGCAAAACGGAUCCGUAACUUCGGAACAAGGAUUGGCUCUAAGGGCUGGGCCGAUCGGGCUGAGGUUUCAAGCGUGCAGUGUAUGCUUGGCUGAGUUGUGUUGAGGACUUGUUCACUUGCCGCCGUUUGUUCGGUUGGUCUAGUGUAUUCGAGUCUGAAGCAGAGCUGGCCGACAGACCGGCACGUGCAGAACCUGAGCUGCGCGGCUGUCCGUUUACGUGUACAGACCGUUUCGGUCGGCAUUCAACAGCCAACUUAGAACUGGCACGGACACAAGGAAUCUGACUGUAUAAUUAAAACAAAGCAUUGCGAUGGCCGAUGAUCGGUGAUGACGCAAUGUGAUUUCUGCCCAGUGCUCUGAAUGUCAAAGUGAAGAAAUUCAAUCAAGCGCGGGUAAACGGCGGGAGUAACUAUGACUCUCUUAAGGUAGCCAAAUGCCUCGUCAUCUAAUUAGUGACGCGUAUGAAUGGAUCAACAAGAUUCCUUCUGUCCCUAUCUACUAUCUAGCGAAACCACAGCCAAGGGAACGGGCUUGGCAAAAUCAGCGGGGAAAGAAGACCCUGUUGAGCUUGACUCUAGUCUGACUCUGUGAAGAGACAUGAAAGGUGUAGCAUAGGUGGGAGAUUGUCAAAUUGCCAUCGUUCGCGCGGUGGUCCGGUGAUCGCCAAUGAAAUACCACUACUUUGAUCGUUUCUUUACUUAUUCGGUAAAGCGAAAAAAUUGUGGCCAAUUUGGCGGUGUUUAUGUCGCUGUUGGUCAUUGUUUUCAUGUUAGAUUGAAGCUUUGUUUACAGCCGUCGCUUUGUGUCGCCAUUUGACGCAUUGUUGUACUGGGUUAUCCGUUGCCCAGUUCUUUCCCAUCUGAUAUUGCCAGACAUCGUGGAAAUACCAACCAAACGGAAUCAGAUCAGACCAAUAAAUUCCAUCUCCUCGAUCUUUCAUCCAAUCUUGAGAGACUCUAAUUUGUAGCAGACCGCCGGUAUAUUUGCGCCACGCAUCAGGUUUCAUGUCUGUCUUGCUCAUGGUACGUGGAUUGAAUGAAAAUACGCCUCUGUUUGGAGAAUUUCUAGCAAUCGAGCCAACCUGUUCAAAGCUGUGACCAAGUACAUCUUCCCAAUAACCCCACAAUGGCGAUAGGUUUGAAGUGAUUCGCUCCGGAAACAGUGUCAGACGGGGAGUUUGACUGGGGCGGUACAUCUGUUAAACGAUAACGCAGGUGUCCUAAGGUAAGCUCAGCGAGGACAGAAACCUCGCUUAGAGUAAACGGGCACAAGCUUACUUGAUUUUGAUUUCCAGUACGAAUAGAAACCGCGAAAGCGUGGCCUAUCGAUCCUUUUGAUUGUGUAGAUUUCAUGCAAGAGGUGUCAGAAAAGUUACCACAGGGAUAACUGGCUUGUGGCAGCCAAGCGUCCAUAGCGACGUUGCUUUUUGAUCCUUCGAUGUCGGCUCUUCCUAUCAUUGCGAAGCAGAAUUCGCCAAGCGUUGGAUUGUUCACCCACCAAUAGGGAACGUGAGCUGGGAUUAGACCGUCGUGAGACAGGUUAGUUUUACCCUACUGAUGACAAGUCGUUGCGAUAGUAAUCCUGCUCAGUACGAGAGGAACCGCGGGAUCAGACAUUUGGUUCAUGCGCUCGGCUGAAAGGCCGGUGGCGCGAAGCUAGCAUCUGCAAGAUUAUGACUGAACGCCUCUAAGUCAGAAUCUUUUCUAGUCAUUGGCAACGAUAAGUUGCGUCCAGACUCGAUGCGAGGAAACGAUUAGGCUUUGCUAUACGGCGAAGCCAUUAUCAGACCACGGUAGCAGGCAGUAUGGGAUUGUUACGAAAAAGCAAUUUUUUGAAGUCAGUUGAAUUCAAUCAAACUGCUAACAAUUCCACUGCGAAUGACUCCAUUCGAAUCAAU
rnacentral:rRNA from 1 species